rnacentral:lncRNA from 1 species
CUGGAUUGAAAAAAAAGUUGCUAUAAAGGAUGAUAUUGGACAACUGGUGGAAUUUGAAAACGGACUGUAUGUUAGAUCCUAGUAUUGUGUUGCCAUUCAGUUUCCUGACGUUGCUCAUUCUCCUGUCGGAAGGGAAGAGGACGUCCUUGAAAUAUUUGGGGGGAAGGUCAUGAUCUCCGCAACUUACUCUCAAACGAUUCAGCAAAGUAAGAGACAGACUAAUAACGUGUAUAUUAUUAUCUUAAAUAUACAUACAUAUAGUGAGAACGAACUUAAGCAAAUGUGGCAAAAUGUUAAGAAUGGGUGAAUUUAGGUGAUAGGUGUAUGGGAGUUUAUAAUAUUCUCGCGACUUUUCUAUAAGACUAAAAUUUUCAAAAUCAGUUGAAUAGUAAAAACAAAAGCUGACAGGUGGGGCCUUUUAAGCACUCUCUGGGGGUGGGGAGCUGGGGCCCCCUUAUUCUGUCCCUUGUGCUCUCUUGAGCAUCACGGGGGCCCCCACCCCCACCCCAGGCCAGGGUCUUGUUUACUAAACAUCUCAGCGAUGAGCCAUCGCCCCCUGAUUUCAUCAAUUAUAAAUGUGCUUUCUGCUCACCACAGGGCAAUUUGUGACGGACUGUGGCUUGCGGUGCAUGCAGCACAUCCAAGUUCACCGCAGCCGUGAGUAGAGAGGAGGGUUGGGGCCAGACACGGGGCCGCGGGGGCGGGCAGGGGCACCCAGGCAGCCCUGCCCCCUUCCUGUUUGUCAGCCAAGGGAGGCUGCAGAGGGCAGCGGGCAAGCGGGCCACUGCUCAGGCUGCUGCUGCCAGGCCAGCCUCGUCAGGGAGGUGUCCUGGCUCCCGGAACCAAAGCAAACACUCGGGCUAACCCUGCUUCAAGCGCCUAUGUGUAUAAAUGCAUUUAAUCUGCAGAGCAAACCUAGCAACAGCUGUUAUUAUACUCAUUUUGCAGAUGAGGAAACUGAGGCACAGAGAACUUCCUCAAAGUCAUUGGGUGUCACUGAGCUUCUGGUCAUGUGAGAUGGGUGACUGAGCACAGGUUUUCGAACAUCCAGACAAGCUGCCUUCUAUAACUCUGGAGCCUUCCCACCGUCAACCACAUAUGGACCCUGGGUCAGAGUUUGCGGAAUGAGUGAGUAAAUAAUAAUUGUGUCAGAAUACAAAUGUAGAUAUUGUCUUAUUUUAGUUAUCGUUAGUCUAAGGGACCAUUCUUGCUACGGUAACAUUGCAUAGAGCCCAGAAAUUCCAGAGUCUGAACUGAGACUUUGUUUGUGACUUAAAGUGAAUUCACGGGAAAGUCAUGGGCCUCCGGGAGUUUUCAUUCAGAAACAGGAGAGAUUAUUCUCACUGAAGAAAAUUUAAAGGAAGGUGGGAGACAAAAAUAAAGCUGUGUUUUGAUGAUACUAGGAAUUGUAC